GAGGCUGCUCACACCCUGUGCAGGAAUCAGUCCCAGUCAGGAUACAGAAUGGCCAUGAGGGCUCCUGCUCAGCUCCUGGGGCUCCUGAUCCUCUGCCUCCAAGGUGCCAAAUGUGACAUCACAAUGACCCAGUCUCCAACCUCCCUGUCUAAAUCUCAAGGAGAAACAGUCACCAUCAGUUGCCGGGCUAGUGAGGGCAUUAGCAAUUACUUAAACUGGUACCAGCAGAAACCAGGGCAAGCUCCUAAGCUCCUGAUCUAUUAUACCAACCGUUUGCACUCUGGGGUCCCCUCGAGGUUCAGUGGCAGUGGAUCUGGGACAGAUUAUUCCCUCACCAUCAGCAGCCUGGAGCCUGAAGAUUUUGCCACUUAUUACUGUCAACAGUAUAAUAGUUACCCUCCCACAGUGAUACAGGCCAGGCUGCUGCAGCUGACAGGGACAAUCAUGGGUGUGGCCCAGGCAGUCAUGGUCUACAGCCCUCAGCUGCACCUGUUCCCUGAGUUCCCAGCUUCUUCCUCUCACAGGGCAGAGAGUCUGCUGAGCUAA